rnacentral:tRNA from 1 species
ACCUAUAGCUCAGCUGGUUAGAGCGCUACGUUGACAUCGUAGAGGUCACUGGUUCGAAUCCAGUUAGGUCC